UACGGAGGGUGCAAGCGUUGUUCGGAUUUACUGGGCGUAAAGCGCGCGCAGGCGGAUUGGCAAGUCAGAUGUGAAAUCUCGGGGCUUAACCCCGAAACUGCGUCUGAAACUGCUAGUCUAGAGUCUCAUAGGGGGCAGGGGAAUUUCACGUGUAGGGGUAAAAUCCGUAGAGAUGUGAAGGAACACCGGUGGCGAAGGCGCCUGCCUGGAUGAGUACUGACGCUGAGGCGCGAAAGCGUGGGGAGCAAACAGG
rnacentral:rRNA from 1 species